UUAAUAUUUAAAAACAUCUCUUCCAACACUGUUAGUCUCUACUAUGUCACCAUAUUAUUCCUCUUAUCACCAUGUGACAUUGAUUAUUUUCUGUCCAGCUCUGACAAGAAUGUAAACUCCAUGAAGUCCUAAUGCUCAGUGUGGCUAACAGGGCAGCAGAGUAAUAAUCUUCAUUAUCUUUUCCUCUUUUCAAAAUCGCUCAUGAAGUGCUUCAAAUCAAAAAGGACCCACUGAUGCCCCAGGACGGAUCUUUUGAAGACGAUAUUCUUCAGUUUGGGUUUGUUUACUGGUUUCUCUUGAUUAGAUUAAGAUCUGCAUCUUUGACAGUAAUAUCAGAGAAGUGAUGCUCCGUGCUUAUUGCAUCCUACCAGGCGACGCACAGUUUUGAUUCAUCCCAUUACUAAUGAUGGUCACUUGGCUUACUUAAUAGGAGUAGUUUCUCCCAGGCUUCUCCACUGUAAAGUGACUUUUUAAAAUGAAUAAGGAGUUCAUGGAGAGAUACUGUGAAGCAAUGUAAAUAUUUUUCCUCAUUAAUCUUCAUGUUUGAUAAUUUUACUCAUUUAAAUCAGGAUGAGCUCAUGUUUUGUUUUUUUUUU
ensembl:lncRNA